GAUAGCUAGUUUAAAUAAAAUAAGUGAUUUCGACUCACUAGAUUAUAAUAAAAUUUAUAGCUAUCC
rnacentral:tRNA from 1 species